rnacentral:rRNA from 1 species
UACGUAGGGUGCGAGCGUUGUCCGGAAUUACUGGGCGUAAAGAGCUCGUAGGUGGUUUGUCGCGUUGUUCGUGAAAACUCACAGCUUAACUGUGGGCGUGCGGGCGAUACGGGCAGACUGGAGUACUGCAGGGGAGACUGGAAUUCCUGGUGUAGCGGUGGAAUGCGCAGAUAUCAGGAGGAACACCGGUGGCGAAGGCGGAUCUCUGGGCCAUUACUGACGCUGAGGAGCGAAAGCGUGGGGGAGCGAACAGG